rnacentral:lncRNA from 1 species
GGGAAGUGAGAAAGAGAGAUGGGGGGAAAUCUGCAAACAGCUUGAGAGCUGCAAUUGAGAUUUAUUUUAUUUCAUAAGAUUUUGAUAAGUAUGAAAACCUUCUCAAAUUCACCAGGAUAGAAAAAUCCAAAAAAAUACCCCUUAAAUUGUCUAUUUGUUCAAAAUAUUUUAUGCUAUACUUUUCUAAGGAAUUUUAUUUGGUGCUUCUUCAAGUAGUUUUACAAUAAAAUUAAAAAAAAGAAUUAUACAUGUUGAGCAUGCGCUUUUACAAAAUAUUGUAAAAAUAUAUAUAACCAUAUGUUUCAAUAUUCAAAAUAUGUGAAUAGGCCAC